rnacentral:lncRNA from 7 species
AGCUGAACACAAUUAGGCUUGGUGUAGGGCAGCUGGGUUGCAGUUGUUGGGCUGAAGUGAAAGACAUCAGACUUGCCAACAGAGAGACUUCAACCAGGAUCCUCAGCAUCCCCGAUGGAUGGUGUGCCUGCAGAACUGCUGGCUGGUAAAAUCUUUAGAAAGCAGCUAGAACCAUCCUUGUUUCCAGAGGACCUUCAACCCGCAGUGAAAGGGAGGUGCUGUUACAGUGUAUGAUUCUGUACAGAAUAUGCCACUUACAGCUGCCAUCAGAAGUGCUUAUUUUGCCAAUGGAAUUUAAAUGACAUCUGGGUGUGAGCCUUGCCUCAAUACUGCAGCCUGGAGAUGGCAGAAUCCCCAGCAGGAAAAAGGGUGAAUAAGAGAUGCUCUGGUCGGAGAACAGUGAUCCAGGAGCCACGGCUUUUGCAAGCACCCCCCUCAGUGGUCCUCUGCCCAUGUCCAUGUGUGGACAAGAAGGACAAGGACAAAAAUAUGCCCUUCCAGUCUCAGGCCUGAGACAUGCUCCCACACAGCCAUCCUUCCUGCAGGCCUGUGAUGCAUCCUUGGCCCUGCAAUGCCAGAAGCAUGUGCUGCAGGAGGGCAUGGGUCUGGCUGCUGGGGGCCUCUCUCAACUCCCCAUAGGGUCAGUAAGGAGGGAGCUGGCUCCCAUCUUGUCCUUGGGCAUUCUUUUUCUCCCUUAAUAGUUGCUGUCAUCCCCUUGGGUACAUUUCCCUCUGGGAGAACCAAGCUGAGUAAAAGAAAUGGGGCAAUUUUGGUCCUAUGGGAUCAGUUUACUGAACUAGAGGACCAGUGCAACCUAUUUAAUAUUAGUUCUGUUGAUUUGGAGACAGAGGCUUGCAAAAUUAAAUUUGUGCACCUUAAGGUUAGGUCCUUGCCUUUCAAAAUUCCUUGCAUGACCACGAAGAGCCAAUGUUGGUCCAUCUUAAUUCAGGAUUGAAACUCUUCAGGAUUUACCACUUCUGCAACCUCCCUGCUGCCCUCCUUCCCUUGCAUCUCCUAGCAGCAGGCAUCUACAGUAAUGGAGAACAGCUGUAUAGUUGAAGGAAAAACCAAGAGGCUUGGAGACCAAGUAGGCAACCCUCCUUGUUCCCUGCCUUGUGGAAGGAAAAACAUUGUGCCCACGGAUGCAGGGCCCUGGGGUGGCUUUAAAUUGACUAAAGACUCUACUGCUGCGUGAAGUUUGGCUGCAAGAACAGUGUGGUAAAACACACAUUACCACUUUCCUACAUUAUAGUUAAUCACUAUUUUCUAGAAUAGUUAAGUUGCCAUCCCCUCCCAGAGAAUAAUUACUGCUAUUUAAUUGUAUUUAUAAUUUAGUAUACACCUGAAAAAUAUGCUGUAAAAUAUCAGGGGGGUUCCCUUUAAUACUGGUGUUCCAUUUACAAACUGUCACAUUUAUAAUGCGUCUUUAAUCUUCUGUGGUCUGCUAGAAUUUUAUAUUAAAGUCUGCUUUGUGCUUUAAAU